UACGGGGGGGGCAAGCGUUGUUCGGAAUUACUGGGCGUAAAGGGCUCGUAGGCGGCCAACUAAGUCAUACGUGAAAUCCCUCGGCUUAACCGGGGAACUGCGUCUGAUACUGGAUGGCUUGAGUUCGGGAGAGGGAUGCGGAAUUCCAGGUGUAGCGGUGAAAUGCGUAGAUAUCUGGAGGAACACCGGUGGCGAGGGCGGCAUCCUGGACCGAUACUGACGCUGAGGAGCGAAAGCGUGGGGAGCGAACAGG
rnacentral:rRNA from 1 species